rnacentral:rRNA from 1 species
UACGUAGGGUGCAAGCGUUGUCCGGAAUUAUUGGGCGUAAAGAGCUCGUAGGCGGUUUGUCGCGUCUGCUGUGAAAGCCCCGGGCUUAACCUGGGAACAGCAUUUGAUACUCGAUAGCUUGAGUUCGGGAGAGGAGAGUGGAAUUCCCAGUGUAGAGGUGAAAUUCGUAGAUAUUGGGAAGAACACCAGUGGCGAAGGCGGCUCUCUGGACCGACACUGACGCUGAGGCGCGAAAGCGUGGGGAGCAAACAGG